UCUUCUUUCGACUCUUUCUCUCUUUCCUCUCUUGAUGUUAACAGAGAUGGAUUCGACGAUUCACCUAAAGUCCGGAAAAAUCGUCGGCGGAUGUUGCUUCUGAUGGCCUAAAUUGGACACAUAAGGGAUUGCUGCUGGUGUUUGUAUAAUGAGCAAGGCAUGGAAAGAUGAACAAGAACCUUCGUUGAUCUGUUUUGUAUUUUCGUUUUUCGCUCUAACUCUUUCGGGCUUAACCUUGUCUCGAUUUCCCAUGAUGAUGAAGAAGCUCAUAUAACUCUUUCGUGAUCUUUCUAGAUUCACAUUGGUAGCUUCCCACCUGAAGAAGGCUGAAUCGUGCGGAAAGAUGGUGAUCAUUAUUAAGUCAUGCCUCAUUGUCUUCAGAUUAAGUUCAUGGUUCAACCGCUAUGAACUGUUUGUCUUUGAAAUCUUCCGAUGCUUAUCAGGCAGUUGAGCUUGACCCGGUAAUGGUUAGUGUUGGCAAGGAUUACUUUGGUUUCAUACAAACUGAUCGCUUGAAGGUGCAUAUUGCUGAUGGGAUUAAAUUCGUUAGAGAUAUAACAAACUCUGAAACUCCUUGUGAGGAAACAUCAAACGUCAAAGGCAGAACUUGUCCUGAAUUCUGAUUAUAGAUGUGGAUUAAACAGAUUCAAGUGGCGGUUUAACCUGUCCUACAUCUUAGUUUAUCGAAGAGACAUUUCUUCUUUUGGUUAAGCGUGCUCUCCGUCAGCCCAGUCUUUUCGUAGUGAACUUGAAGGUUUUGGUUUUGUUCUUGUAGGUUUUGGUUUUGAAAACUGCAGUUUCUGUUUUGAACACUUUCAGGGUUUGGUUUUUAAAACUGGAGCUUCUGUUUCUACUUAUAAAUUGGACACUUUCAGCUGGUGCUAGUGACAAUGACUCGGUUGACAAAAUGGAGGAUCUUGUAUGUGAAGCUCCUGUUAUGCCUUCUCAAGAAAACUCAGGUCUGUUCUUGAUGAACAUAUGUCUGCUCUUGGAAACUGCAUUGCCUGUAAUGAUCAUGUUGCUCUUGCUCACAUUGAUCAAUACCUAUGUUUAAAUUUUGUUUUUGUUUGGAUGAGAUACACAAAACAACAUUCUCAAGUGCUUAUGUGAAAAGACCCGACCCGUUUUUUUAAUAAAUAAUAAAUAAUAGUUACUCUACAA